UCGUUCGGGCCCAACAAACAACAAAGUGGAUCCGAUCCGUACCCGGAUUCUGGAGCUGUCCGGAUAACAUCUUCGCUUUUACUUGAUCAACUCUGCAAAUUUCAAUUUUCGCAAUUUUGCUCGGGGAUUUAACGCUUUACCUCAGGAUGUCUUCGAUUGAGCCACCCUUCAGGCCAAGAGAGAAGAUCAUCGAAAAGCAGAAGCAUUUCCAGAACAUACACAAACACACUUAUCUGAAAGGACCAUUCGAUAAGAUCACCUCAGUGGCCAUUCCUGUUGCUUUGGCUGCCACUUCUCUCUAUCUCAUUGGGAGAGGAAUCUACAAUAUGUCUCAUGGGGUUGGGAAGAAGGAAUGAGGACUUGUCUGCUGUGAUGAUUCCAUCAUGCAAGAGCUUUGCUGGCUAGUUUUUCCUCAUCUUGAAUUUGCUUUGUAAUUUCUGAACUUAAUAAUGUAGAUGUUUCAUGGGAUUGGUGAGUGAUACUUGCUUCGCUGUGAUGAUUUGAUGUUAAAAGAUCUUUGCUUGCUUUGGUUUUUCUUA